GCUUAUGCGUUGUUGGGUAGGGGAGCGUUCUGUAAGCCUGUGAAGGUGUGUCGUGAGGCAUGCUGGAGGUAUCAGAAGUGCGAAUGCUGACAUAAGUAACGAUAAAGCGGGUGAAAAGCCCGCUCGCCGGAAGACCAAGGGUUCCUGUCCAACGUUAAUCGGGGCAGGGUGAGUCGACCCCUAAGGCGAGGCCGAAAGGCGUAGUCGAUGGGAAACGGGUUAAUAUUCCCGUACUUGGUGUUACUGCGAAGGGGGGACGGAGAAGGCUAUGUUGGCCGGGCGACGGUUGUCCCGGUUUAAGCGUGUAGGUGUGUGUUCCAGGUAAAUCCGGUUCACUUUAACACUGAGGCGUGAUGACGAGGCACUACGGUGCUGAAGUAACAAAUGCCCUGCUUCCAGGAAAAGCCUCUAAGCAUCAGGUAACAUCAAAUCGUACCCCAAACCGACACAGGUGGUCAGGUAGAGAAUACCAAGGCGCUUGAGAGAACUCGGGUGAAGGAACUAGGCAAAAUGGUGCCGUAACUUCGGGAGAAGGCACGCUGACACGUAGGUGAAGUGAUUUACUCACGGAGCUGAAGUCAGUCGAAGAUACCAGCUGGCUGCAACUGUUUAUUAAAAACACAGCACUGUGCAAACACGAAAGUGGACGUAUACGGUGUGACGCCUGCCCGGUGCCGGAAGGUUAAUUGAUGGGGUCAGCGCAAGCGAAGCUCCUGAUCGAAGCCCCGGUAAACGGCGGCCGUAACUAUAACGGUCCUAAGGUAGCGAAAUUCCUUGUCGGGUAAGUUCCGACCUGCACGAAUGGCGUAAUGAUGGCCAGGCUGUCUCCACCCGAGACUCAGUGAAAUUGAACUCGCUGUGAAGAUGCAGUGUACCCGCGGCAAGACGGAAAGACCCCGUGAACCUUUACUAUAGCUUGACACUGAACAUUGAGCCUUGAUGUGUAGGAUAGGUGGGAGGCUUUGAAGUGUGGACGCCAGUCUGCAUGGAGCCGACCUUGAAAUACCACCCUUUAAUGUUUGAUGUUCUAACGUGGACCCGUUACCCGGGUUGCGGACAGUGUCUGGUGGGUAGUUUGACUGGGGCGGUCUCCUCCUAAAGAGUAACGGAGGAGCACGAAGGUUGGCUAAUCCUGGUCGGACAUCAGGAGGUUAGUGCAAUGGCAUAAGCCAGCUUGACUGCGAGCGUGACGGCGCGAGCAGGUGCGAAAGCAGGUCAUAGUGAUCCGGUGGUUCUGAAUGGAAGGGCCAUCGCUCAACGGAUAAAAGGUACUCCGGGGAUAACAGGCUGAUACCGCCCAAGAGUUCAUAUCGACGGCGGUGUUUGGCACCUCGAUGUCGGCUCAUCACAUCCUGGGGCUGAAGUAGGUCCCAAGGGUAUGGCUGUUCGCCAUUUAAAGUGGUACGCGAGCUGGGUUUAGAACGUCGUGAGACAGUUCGGUCCCUAUCUGCCGUGGGCGCUGGAGAACUGAGGGGGGCUGCUCCUAGUACGAGAGGACCGGAGUGGACGCAUCACUGGUGUUCGGGUUGUCAUGCCAAUGGCACUGCCCGGUAGCUAAAUGCGGAAGAGAUAAGUGCUGAAAGCAUCUAAGCACGAAACUUGCCCCGAGAUGAGUUCUCCCUGAGACUUUAGGUCUCCUGAAGGAACGUUGAAGACGACGACGUUGAUAGGCCGGGUGUGUAAGCGCAGCGAUGCGUUGAGCUAACCGGUACUAAUGAACCGUGAGGCUUAACCUUACAACGCCG
rnacentral:rRNA from 3 species